rnacentral:rRNA from 1 species
CAGCCGCCACGGGAAUACGAAGGGGGCUAGCGUUGUUCGGAAUUACUGGGCGUAAAGCGCACGUAGGCGGAUACUUAAGUCAGGGGUGAAAUCCCGGGGCUCAACCCCGGAACUGCCUUUGAUACUGGGUAUCUCGAGUCCGGAAGAGGUGAGUGGAAUUCCGAGUGUAGAGGUGAAAUUCGUAGAUAUUCGGAGGAACACCAGUGGCGAAGGCGGCUCACUGGUCCGGUACUGACGCUGAGGUGCGAAAGCGUGGGGAGCAAACAGGAUUAGAUACCCGGGUAGUCCCUGUCUCUUAUAC